UACGGGGGGGGUAAGCGUUGUUCGGAAUUACUGGGCGUAAAGGGCUCGUAGGCGGCCAACUAAGUCGGACGUGAAAUCCCUCAGCUUAACUGGGGAACUGCGUCUGAUACUGGAUGGCUUGGAUUUGGGAGAGGGAUGCGGAAUUCCAGGUGUAGCGGUGAAAUGCGUAGAUAUCUGGAGGAACACCGGUGGCGAAGGCGGCAUCCUGGACCAACAUUGACGCUGAGGAGCGAAAGCGUGGGGAGCAAACAGG
rnacentral:rRNA from 1 species